CGUGAGGGAAAGGCGAAAAGAACCCCGGCGAGGGGAGUGAAAAAGAACCUGAAACCGUGUACGUACAAGCAGUGGGAGCACCCUUCGGGGUGUGACUGCGUACCUUUUGUAUAAUGGGUCAGCGACUUAUAUUCUGUAGCAAGGUUAACCGUAUAGGGGAGCCGGAGGGAAACCGAGUCUUAAUUGGGCGUUAAGUUGCAGGGUAUAGACCCGAAACCCGGUGAUCUAGCCAUGGGCAGGUUGAAGGUUGGGUAACACUAACUGGAGGACCGAACCGACUAAUGUUGAAAAAUUAGCGGAUGACCUGUGGCUGGGGGUGAAAGGCCAAUCAAACCGGGAGAUAGCUGGUUCUCCCCGAAAGCUAUUUAGGUAGCGCCUCGUGAAUUCAUCUCCGGGGGUAGAGCACUGUUUCGGCUAGGGGGCCAUCCCGGCUUACCAACCCGAUGCAAACUGCGAAUACCGGAGAAUGUUAUCACGGGAGACACACGGCGGGUGCUAACGUCCGUCGUGAAGAGGGAAACAACCCAGACCGCCAGCUAAGGUCCCAAAGUCAUGGUUAAGUGGGAAACGAUGUGGGAAGGCCCAGACAGCCAGGAUGUUGGCUUAGAAGCAGCCAUCAUUUAAAGAAAGCGUAAUAGCUCACUGGUCGAGUCGGCCUGCGCGGAAGAUGUAACGGGGCUAAACCAUGCACCGAAGCUGCGGCAGCGAACGUAUCACCCAAGACAACUUUACGGAGUUGACGAUUGACGGAGCGAAGCGACGUCAAAGCGUUCAUUAAAGUCGAGUUGGCUUAGGGAUACGUUCGUUGGGUAGGGGAGCGUUCUGUAAGCCUGUGAAGGUGUGUCGUGAGGCAUGCUGGAGGUAUCAGAAGUGCGAAUGCUGACAUAAGUAACGAUAAAGCGGGUGAAAAGCCCGCUCGCCGGAAGACCAAGGGUUCCUGUCCAACGUUAAUCGGGGCAGGGUGAGUCGACCCCUAAGGCGAGGCCGAAAGGCGUAGUCGAUGGGAAACGGGUUAAUAUUCCCGUACUUGGUGUUACUGCGAAGGGGGGACGGAGAAGGCUAUGUUGGCCGGGCGACGGUUGUCCCGGUUUAAGCGUGUAGGUGUGUGUUCCAGGUAAAUCCGGUUCACUUUAACACUGAGGCGUGACGACGAGGCACUACGGUGCUGAAGCAACAAAUGCCCUGCUUCCAGGAAAAGCCUCUAAGCAUCAGGUAACAUCAAAUCGUACCCCAAACCGACACAGGUGGUCAGGUAGAGAAUACCAAGGCGCUUGAGAGAACUCGGGUGAAGGAACUAGGCAAAAUGGUGCCGUAACUUCGGGAGAAGGCACGCUGACACGUAGGUGAAGUGAUUUACUCAUGGAGCUGAAGUCAGUCGAAGAUACCAGCUGGCUGCAACUGUUUAUUAAAAACACAGCACUGUGCAAACACGAAAGUGGACGUAUACGGUGUGACGCCUGCCCGGUGCCGGAAGGUUAAUUGAUGGGGUCAGCGCAAGCGAAGCUCCUGAUCGAAGCCCCGGUAAACGGCGGCCGUAACUAUAACGGUCCUAAGGUAGCGAAAUUCCUUGUCGGGUAAGUUCCGACCUGCACGAAUGGCGUAAUGAUGGCCAGGCUGUCUCCACCCGAGACUCAGUGAAAUUGAACUCGCUGUGAAGAUGCAGUGUACCCGCGGCAAGACGGAAAGACCCCGUGAACCUUUACUAUAGCUUGACACUGAACAUUGAGCCUUGAUGUGUAGGAUAGGUGGGAGGCUUUGAAGUGUGGACGCCAGUCUGCAUGGAGCCGACCUUGAAAUACCACCCUUUAAUGUUUGAUGUUCUAACGUGGACCCGUUACCCGGGUUGCGGACAGUGUCUGGUGGGUAGUUUGACUGGGGCGGUCUCCUCCUAAAGAGUAACGGAGGAGCACGAAGGUUGGCUAAUCCUGGUCGGACAUCAGGAGGUUAGUGCAAUGGCAUAAGCCAGCUUGACUGCGAGCGUGACGGCGCGAGCAGGUGCGAAAGCAGGUCAUAGUGAUCCGGUGGUUCUGAAUGGAAGGGCCAUCGCUCAACGGAUAAAAGGUACUCCGGGGAUAACAGGCUGAUACCGCCCAAGAGUUCAUAUCGACGGCGGUGUUUGGCACCUCGAUGUCGGCUCAUCACAUCCUGGGGCUGAAGUAGGUCCCAAGGGUAUGGCUGUUCGCCAUUUAAAGUGGUACGCGAGCUGGGUUUAGAACGUCGUGAGACAGUUCGGUCCCUAUCUGCCGUGGGCGCUGGAGAACUGAGGGGGGCUGCUCCUAGUACGAGAGGACCGGAGUGGACGCAUCACUGGUGUUCGGGUUGUCAUGCCAAUGGCACUGCCCGGUAGCUAAAUGCGGAAGAGAUAAGUGCUGAAAGCAUCUAAGCACGAAACUUGCCCCGAGAUGAGUUCU
rnacentral:rRNA from 1 species